UGUUUUGCUCCAGAUCUGACAUUCAGCCUAAAUAGAUUUGACACCCCUGCUAUAGCGCAUCCUGCUGCCAUCUGUUUAAUGAGUUUUUACUUGGUUUAAUACAAUAUGUUUAUAAUUGGCACAAGUUUCUUGAAAUCCUGCCCACUUCUUUGCAUUGUGUUGUCAUGCUUCAGUGAUGUGUGAGUGUUUAUAGUGCUGUGAGUUUAACACUUCAUGACUGAGAUCAGAACAGAACAGAAUCUUCAUCAUCACACAAACCAAAAGAACAACAAUGACUUUCAUCAUCAUCUUUAUCUGGACACUCACAGUUUUUAUUCUGGAAUCAAGAGGAGUAACUCUGACUCAACCUAAAGAAAAAAGUGUUCAACAAGGACAAACAGCUACAAUAGAGUGUCACAUAGAUGUAGGAAUAUAUAACAGCCACUUAUACUGGUACUUACAGAGACCUGGAGAAACUCAUAAACUCCUCAUAUAUUCCAUAAAUAACCGUCAGUCAGGAACUCCAUCAAGAUUCAGUGGCAGUGGAACAGCAAGCACUGGAAAAGAUUUCACUUUGACCAUCAGUGCAGUUCAGACUGAAGAUUCAGGAGAUUAUUACUGUCAGAGUUAUCACAGUAGUGGUGAUGUGUUGACACAGUGA